rnacentral:tmRNA from 1 species
GGGGGCGAUUAUGGAUUCGACGGGAAUUACAACGCUUUUUCGGUGCAUGUCGAGGGUGCUAUCUUACCUCGUAAAAUACGAUGCAAAUUGUCAUAAUAACUGGCAACAAAAACAAAAAAUCUCGUGUACCAGCUAACGAUAAUGCGUAUGCUGGUGUUGCAGCGAAAGCUGCUUAAUUCAGUCUAAACAACUGAACGCGAACGUUGGUUACUAUUUGUCUGUAGGUAGUAAGUCCCAACGGUCAUAUUUUUACAGACUCGUCUAAGGGCUACACCUGUUAGCGCCUUGAUUAAACUUUAAACGGGUACACUUUAGACCUUCCCUGACCAUCGGGUAGUUUAAAGCAAGCAUUAAAGAUCGGUCUAAACAUGUAGAGCCAAAAGCUGAGGAUUUGCGGACGCGGGUUCAACUCCCGCCGCCUCCACCA